rnacentral:misc_RNA from 1 species
AGUAUUCAGAGCAGAAUUGUGUUCGCAACAUAAGCCAGUAGCCUAUGUGUUCGUCACACAUACACAUAAGAGCAAGCACAUACACCAAAAACUGUACGUUUCACUGAUCGCUGAUAUGUGGAAGUUCAUACUUUUAACGAUUGUUUUUGUCUGGAGUGGGAUUGGUGACGAGAUCAAGUUGGGCAGAGAAGUAGACAAGCGAUGCUACGAGAACACAAGUGUGACUGAGCCUGUAAUUAUAGGAGGAACAGUGCGGAUGAUUUGUGACCCAUGUGAAACACACGGGUACGGUGUUCAGUGGAAGCAAGAGCUCGGGACUUGGGAAAAGUCUAAACUCAGUGGAAUUGGGUUCGAAGUCAAGGACAACGAGAUCACUGUGGGACGAUAUAUUCUCAACUGGGACAUGAGUUUCUCCAUCUACGACGUUGAACCUGGCGAUACUGGGCGCUACAGAUGCUCCAAAAAGGAUGAAAUCUUUAGUUGGCACGAGGUUAUUGUGUACGAUCCCUCCGAGUUCCUUGUGGUGGAUACCAGGGAGAAUCAGAGACCACUAGAUUAUCCAAUGAACAUUGAAACCAGGUGGACCGACUGGGGUCCGUGCACUCAAUGCGAUGAGCCGGGAACCCGCGAACGCAUAGGGUUUUGUUACCUAGGGGAAAGCCCUCUCACGGAAUAUCACAACGGAAUGCCAUGCGAUUAUCUUUUUGACUGGGUGGGGGAUUUAACAGGAGACACUCGUCACCAGAGGAUGAUCGAGCACUGCAGUGUCACAUGCAGAGAAGCCGACAGGCUAAGGCGACACAAGAAAGUGCAGCCUUAUUUUCAUCCUUUCAAGUGCAUGUUGGAAAUAGAAUUCCAUCACAUAAAGAUGCUCGUCGUGUACGAAGGAGACACUCUAAGGAUGAAAUGUCACUACUGUGCUGAGUUGUAUGGCGGUGUCAAGUGGUAUCGGGUCGAUCCCCAUGACCCUAGAAGCUUUAGAAUGAUGCAUUUCGACUGGCACGACAACGACGACGAAAACAAGUUUGUCUUGAACUAUGACAUGUCCAUGGAGAUCCGUCAAGCCGAAAUGAGCGAUGAUGACAGAUAUGGAUGUGCUGGGAAAAAUGGAACUCACGCCGAAUAUACUGUUGUGGUCAAGAAGCGCCCCACUGAGAUGCACGUGGUGGACAUGACGAAGAACCAGAAGCCGUACAGCCAAUUAAGGGACAACACCUACUUGCUGUAUACGAUGUGGAUGGAGUGGGGACCGUGCAGUAGUCCGUGCGGCAAACCAGGCACUCACAUUCGUCUCGGUCACUGCUAUUCCAUUGCGCCCCAGGUCACGGGCAGGUUGGGCAAGGUGUUCCCCACCGGUAUACCUUGCCAUUAUAAGACGCCCGAGAAUUUCGACUGGAGCAUCAUCAAGUCGCCCCUGCUAGACGAGAAAAUGAUCGACACCUGCAACGAAUCGUGCAUUAAUAUAGUUACAAGGACUACAACAACAGACUGGUUCCAUAAAGAUUACACGCCACAGACUAUACAUGUCUACGAGGCGGGUUCCAUAGGGAAUUUUCUGUGCUACCAGAAACCAAUACCGCACGGCAGCGAGCUGGAUACUCAGGCUCACCGGGAUGACGUCACUUGGGCGUAUAUCAUUUUUACUUCCCGGACGCGCAGCGGAAUCGGCCAUCGACGUGCUCUUAUUUGAUCAGGAUAUUUAUGAGGUGCAAAACCAGCUACAGGCUAUUUCUGCCCUGUGAUUUAUGGAAGGUCGACAUCUGUUGGUAGUCCAUUUGAUGUAGUGAACGUGUUUGACAGCGAUGUUCAGCGAUACGCCGCAGCUCGACGUCCGGGCCAAAAGAACCCAUGGGCGCGUCCGAAAGGAA